CAGAAAGGAAGGAAGAGAAAGAAAGAAAGAAAGAAAGAAAGGGAGAUCCGUCCAAACCGUCGAUAUUUUGGAGAAACCUCAAGGGCGAUGUACCGAGCUAUUGCUCGACGAAGGAACUCGUAUGCGUGAUCGCCUAUAUAGUACUUUUGCAGGCGAAAUUAGUUGAGGUCGGUCGUACAUGGAGUCGAGGCAUAGCCAACAGCAUUGCUUCCACGUACUCAUUCUAUUUCUGUUUUCUUUGUUACCUAGUGGAUUAGUAUUGGUCUGAUAACCUAUGGGAUUAAUAUUGUUUUUGGGUUGAGACUGAUAUUUGUGAAAUUGGAGUUGUGAUUUGGGGAGCAGAUGGCUCCAGGAGAUUAAGGAUGGAUGAUUUAGAAGUGUAAAUGUUUUCCUACAGGUUUUGGGUAGCCUACUUUUAAGGGAAGUUCCGCCAAAUUUUUGGUAGAAUUUCUUCUAAAGUGGGCCCCGCAGGGCCACUUCGGAUUUUGGGGUGAAAUCCGGGGCGGGUCCUGUCAGCCACAAGCCUCCGUGAACUGUUCACCUUGAGUUGAUCCAGUUCCCACGUAAAACGCUCCAAACAACCACCACAGAUCGAUCAAGGAGACUCUUGCGAACUCCAUAAGCCUGGUUUGAAGCCCCGCCAUCGUCGGAGAUAGGAGAACCGAUUGGGUCUGACUGCACCAAACUCUGUCGCUUUGCUGCACCGUCGUCACUGAGAAUCGAUGCCACAGGGAGGAGCGCACGGUGGAGGCGAAGAAGCUGGCCUAAUUUCACUGCUGGAGACCGCUGGAGCUCGCCGAAAAAGUCAGGUCGGAUCGUCCGGAUCCGGGUCGGGUCGAGCGGCUGAUGAGAGAGAAUGGAGGAUUUGAAUAGUUCCCGGAAAUGGAAAUUUCCCAAAAUGAAAAUAGUAAGUUUCCGAAAACGGAAACCCUUAUUUAUAGAAUUUUCUCAAACUUCAAACGCUCAUAACUUUCUCAUACGAACUCCGAUUUCGCGUUCCACAUGUCCAUGAACUCGUAUCGAUGCGCUCUACAACUUUCAUGAAGGAAGUUUUCGGAGAAUCUCAACGUAUCGAAAGUCAACCUUGAAACCCCCCCCCCCCUAAAUCCACACUUUUCGAAUAAAAGUUCAUCCGAAACACUUCCGCUCCGUCCACGAGCCACGAAACUGUCCAAUAACCAUAAAUUAGAUUCCGAAAAAUCCUCAUAAAAUAAAUACGAAUUUCCGGGGCAUCACAUGGACGAUUUUUCCUAAACAACAAGUACUACAAAGGACCCAAACUACAUAGUACUCCUUUACAAACUUUUUAUGCUGCUUUUAACAACUUCACAAGUUUCUCUAAUUUGAAUCCUAAACCCCCUACUAAAGUCCAUCCUUCUUAUCUUAUUAAAUGGUAUCCUCCAGACAAGGACCAUUUGAAACUAAAUUUGGUGGUUCUGUUGUUAACAAUUCUUUUAGUGCAUGAGGUUUUGUCUUUUGUGAUUUUGAAGAAAAUCUAGUUCCAGCUGCUUCUAAAAGUCUAGGAAAUACAGAGAUUGUUUUAGCUAAAAUUUUAUCCCUUAGAGCUAGCAUGCAUGUUGCUGUGUUCCAUGGUUUUUUCAAUCUAGAAGUUGAAGGUGAUUCCAAAUUCCUUGGAAGCUUUUAACUCUGAUGAAGGACAUUGAAAUCCUAGCUGCUCAGCUGCAAAUCUCAUCUUUUAAACAUGUCAAAAGAGAAGCCAACUUCCUCGCAAAUUCAAUUGCUCAUACUGGUCAUGGUUCUCCUCCCCAAGUUUGGAUUGAUUCUCUUCCUCUCUCUGCAAAUCAAGUUUUUCUCUUUGACUAUAUUGGUUCUGGUUGUAUAAGAGGGUUUUCUUUAAAAUUUUUCUUUCUUUAUCAAAAAAAAAAAAAUGUAAGACCUCGGAAAUUUGUUAUUAAUUCCUAAACGUUUCCUAGGAUUAAUAAAGUGUUCAUUCGUACGAUUUCGUGGUUCGAGGGUGGAGUGAAAUUAUUUUCGGACGAAUAAUUAUUCGAAGUGCACAUUUCAGGGGGUUACGAAGGUUGACUUUUUAUACGUUUAGAUUAUGUAAGAACUUCCUUCACGAAAGUCGUAGAGCGCGUCGAUACGAGUUCGUGGACAUGUGGAACACGGAAAUCGGAGUUCGUAUGAAGAAGUUAUGACCUUUGGAAAAAGUUUCCAUUUUGGUUAAAUAGGAAAAAAAUCCGAAAAUAUCAGAAAAAUCCCAACUUUCCAUUUUUGGAAAGUUUUCGCUCUCCCCGACCCGAUCGGCCUCUCACCUUCGCCGGCCGAUUUCUUCCUCCUCCGGCCACCUUUUGCUUCUAUUCCAAAGGGAAUCCUGCUCUCCUCAGUCCCCUCUACACGUAUGUGGUGGUAAUUCGUCGUGGGAAGCACCGUAGACGACGCUACAAGGCCGAGAAGUUGCACGGUGGAGCUGCAGAUCGCCUCAAAUCGCCGGCCUUGGUUCUCCCAUCUCCGGCCACUAUAGCUCGAGUUCUUUGAGGGCGUUUCUAGCCCAUUGGACGUUGAUGCUUCCCUCCAUGCGGCUUGCAACGAUUCAAAGUGUGGAGGUCGAAUUUUGAAGAUUGGGAAUCUAGGGUUCUUCGAAUUUCUGAACUUGCGAGGUAAAUUCCGGCCAAAUGGCUUUGAUUCUGACUUUGUGCUAGUUAUGAAUGUUUCAAUUGGAGUUGAGAUGAAGAACUUUGAUGUUGGAAGUUUUGUUAAAUUUUGACUUUGGUUUGGUGGCGGUGGUUUCCGGCGGCUUCCGGCCACCUCUGGGGCAGUUUCUGCUCCUCAGUGCGAUCUACUCGUCGAUACGAGCAUUUCGAUAUAUAGUUUGUAAUUUUUGGAAAUCGUAUGAGCAUGUUAUGAAUUUUCCAAGUUUUAGGGUUUUCGGUUCGAUCGGUUUUCGAUCCGUGAGGAUUCGGCCGUCCAAUUGACUUGUAGUUUUGUUAUAUUGAUUGUAUAAGUAUUCCGGAGGCCUCGGGUGGUCUCGGAUGAAGUUUCGCCUCGAUUGACAUUACUUUUGGGGAUUUUAGUUCAACGGGGGUUUGAACUUUAAUCGUUUUCGAUCCGUAUACUAAGUUGUGAUGCAUUUUACUUAGAUGAUUGAUGGAGUGUGUUCUGUACUUUAUCUCGGCUGUAAGAGAAGACGCAGCGGGAUUUAGAGGUGAGUAAAUCUCACGGUGUUUCGGUUGAUAAAGUAGUUAUGUUUUAUUUUAGUAUGUUUUAUUGUUAGCAUGAAAAAUCAUUUUCAAAAUAAAUUAUUUGUUUUAAAAUAUAUAAACUUGAUCGACAACGGUUCAUGGGUAGGUUAAAACAAUGUUUUGACAUAAAAUGAUUUUCGAGAGGAAUAAUUUAUAAAACUAUAGUUAAUAUUAGUGGUCAUUCCUGCGUGAAUGGCUACGUAUAUAUAUAUUUACGUGGAAUAUAUAUAUGGAUGGUGUGGCGUUGUGAUAUGUAUAUGUUUGAUGGUUAUAUUGUUGAAAGAGUGAAUUGAAAGUGUGAUGUGACAUUGUGAGUCGUGUGGGAUUUCCUUAAAAGGUUUUGUUCUGAGGGCCAAGUGGUCCGAAGUCCGAAGGUUACAAGUGGUAACCUGGGUUUUGUUCUGAGGGCCGAAAGGUCUGAAGUCCGAAGGUUACAGUGGUAAACCUGGGUGUAAUGAUAUUGGAUGCUUGCAGUUGUACUUCUUGGGGGAUAACUUUGUGUUAUGGCACUCAAGGGUACAUGCUGUCUGCAGUUGUACUUCUUGGGGGAUAACUUGUGUUAUGGCACUCAAGGGUACAUGUUGUCUAUAUUUGUACCUCUUGGGGGAUAACUUUGUGUUAUGGCACUCAAGGGUACAUGUUUUUAAAAGUGAGUUCGAGUGGAUUCUUUCCUUUAUUGUCCAUUGAGGGACUUGAGUUCUUUCUAGAGUGUGGAGUUGAUUUCGGUUUAUUUGAAUUGUUUGUUUUUAUGUAAUCUCCUUAACUAAGUUAUAUGCAGGGAUUACUGCCUUUUGUAUUGUUUGUUUUAAAGUAAUCUCCUGAACUAAGUUUCUAUGCAGGGAUUACUAUGAAUUCUUUUGUUUGUUUUCAUGUAAUCUCCUGAACUAAGUUUCUAUGCAGGGAUUACUAUGAACUCUUUUGUUUGUUUUCAUGUGAUCUCCUGAACUAAAUUUUAUGCAUGGAUUACUGAUUUUGCUUAAUUCUUAUUGUGGGUAUAGUUGUGGGUUGUGAUCUAUAGUGAUUGGAAAAUGAGUUGGAGUGGCAUGAUUUUGGCAACCGCGUCAUGUUUAGGGAAAUGAGUAUGAUUUCCUGGUUGUGCCGUUGAGACAAAGGAAUGGUGAUCUGAUAGAUUGUGGGGACGUAAAAUGUUUAAAAUAUUGGGAGAUAUUUGUAUAGUUGGAGAUUGUGGGAAGUGAGAUUAAAUGAAUUGAGAGUCAGAGCAUGUGGGUUUUAGUUGGGUUGAAAUUGUUGAGCAUGAUAUUGAUUAGUUUGAACUUGAUGUUUUUGUUGUGAUAAUUAAAUAUUGUUGCUUUAAUUCAUCUCACGAAUUGAGAGAUUAUAAGCAUGCGUGACAUGAGUCACUUUAUUUGAGUUUACUCAUACGGGCUGAAAGGCUUACCGGGUUUGUUGUUUACAUUCUCGGUGCACUAUUCUAUAGUGUAGGGGUUAUUGUGCAGGUUUGAAUAUUGAGUGAUCAUUAUCAAAGCUGAGGUGUACGUUCGAUGGCGUGGACGUGGAAGGGUGCUCUUAGUUUUAAGUCUUCCGCUGGGUAGUGAGUUGUGGUGGGUGUGUUUACUUAUUGAAUUGUCAUUCAGUUUGAUUUGUAAACUAUCUGUAAUGUAAUAUGUGACUCUAAAGAACGAGUCGGUAUUGACAUUGUGAGUUCAGUUUGUUUGUUACUUAGUUUAAAUGAAAAAAUU